CUUUCUCACUGAUAAGUGAGGGUAAUCAUUUCGAAUUACUAGUUACACUAAACAGGCUGUUCACCUAUUGUAAAUAUCACUUUGGUUGGAAAGUCUCUUGCAUAAGAUCUCUGGAUGAGCCCAGAUGAAAGUUCAGUUCUACACCUAAAGGAAGAAGGUUUCAUUUUAGUUGCCAGAUAAUGAUGAUAUUCCAGCACCAGGUUACGUCCAGAUGAGGUAUGUUAAGAUAAGAUUGUGUGCAUUUGUGUAUGUCUUUUUGUCCAAAUUUCCUGUAGGUGGUGUCCCAAGGAUCAGAAGGAAAGGUAUGUUAAGAUAAGAUUGUGUACAUUUUUGUAUGUCUUUUUGUCCAAAUUUUCUCUAGAUGGUGUCCCAAGGAUCAGAAGGAAAGGUAUGUUAAGAUAAGAUUGUGUGCAUUUUUGUAUGUCUUUUUGUCCAAAUUUCCUCUAGGUGGUGUCCCAAGGAUCAGAAGGAAAGGUAUGUUAAGAUAAGAUUGUGUGCAUUUUUGUAUGUCUUUUUGUCCAAAUUUCCUCUAGAUGGUGUCCCAAGGUUCAGAAGGAAAGGUAUGUUAAGAUAAGAUUGUGUGCAUGUUUGUAUGUCUUUUUGUCCAAAUUUCCUCUAGGUGGUGUCAAAGGAUCAGAAAGAAAGGUAUGUUAAGAUAAGAUUGUGUGCAUGUUUGUAUGUCUUUUUGUUCAAAUUUUCUCUAGGUGGGGUCAAAGAAUCACAAGGACAGGUAUGUUAAGAUAAGAUUGUGUGCAUUUUUGUAUGUCUUUUUGUCCAAAUUUCCUCUAGGUGGUGUCCCAAGGAUCAGAAGGAAAGGUAUGUUAAGAUAAGAUUGUGUGCAUUUUUGUAUGUCUUUUUGUCCAAAUUUCCUCUAGGUGGUGUCCCAAGGAUCAGAAAGAAAGGUAUGUUAAGAUAAGAUUGUGUGCAUGUUUGUAUGUCUUUUUGUCCAAAUUUUCUCUAGGUGGCGUCAAAGGAUCACAAGGACAGGUAUGUUAAGAUAAGAUUGUGUGCAUUUUUGUAUGUCUUUUUGUCCAAAUUUCCUUUAGGUGGUGUCCCAAGGAUCGGAACAUCAGGUAUGUUAAGAUAAGAUUGUGUGCAUUUUUGUAUGUCUUUUUGUCCAAAUUUCCUGUAGAUGGUGUCCCAAGGAUCAGAAGGAAAGGUAUGUUAAGAUAAGAUUGUGUGCAUGUUUGUAUGUCUUUUUGUCCAAAUUUUCUCUAGGAGGCGUCAAAGGAUCACAAGGACAGGUAUGUUAAGAUAAGAUUGUGUGCAUUUUUGUAUGUCUUUUUGUCCAAAUUUCCUCUAGGUGGUGUCAAAGGAUCAGAAGGAAAGGUAUGUUAAGAUAAGAUUGUGUGCAUGUUUGUAUGUCUUUUUGUCCAAAUUUCCUCUAGGUGGCGUCAAAGGAUCAGAAGGAAAGGUAUGUUAAGAUAAGAUUGUGUGCAUUUGUGUAUGUCUUUUUGUCCAAAUUUCCUCUAGAUGGUGUCCCAAGGAUCAGAAGGAAAGGUAUGUUAAGAUAAGAUUGUGUGCAUGUUUGUAUGUCUUUUUGUCCAAAUUUCCUCUAGGUUGCGUCAAAGGAUCAGAAAGAAAGGUAUGUUAAGAUAAGAUUGUGUGCAUGUUUGUAUGUCUUUUUGUCCUAGUUUCCUCUAGGUGGCGUCCCAAGGAUUGGAACAGAAGGUAUGUUAAGAUAAGAUUGUGUGCAUGUUUGUAUGUCUCUUUGUCCAAAUUUCCUCUAGGUGGCGUCAAAGGAUCAGAAGGAAAGGUAUGUUAAGAUAAGAUUGUGUGCAUGUUUGUAUGUCUUUUUGUCGAGAUUUCCUCUAGGUGGCGUCAAAGGAUCAGAAGGAAAGGUAUGUUAAGAUAAGAUUGUGUGCAUGUUUGUAUGUCUUUUUGUCCUAGUUUCCUCUAGAUGGCGUCCCAAGGAUUGGAAGUGAGGUAUGUUAAGAUAAGAUUGUGUGCAUUUUUGUAUGUCUUUUUGUCCAAAUUUCCUCUAGGUGGUG